CUUAUUGUGAAUAUUGUAUGCUUUGUAUGUGAGUAUCUGGUACCGUUAUACUUUGCUUGUCGAAACUGUUUUUUUUUCUCUCAAGCUGGUUCAUUAAUCAUGGCCUCUAAUACGACUGUUGGUACCUCCUCGGUAGACUCUACCAGCCCCCUUUUUGUCUACUCCUCUGAUGUCCCUGGCGUCUCUCUUGUCUCCACUCCCUUCUCGGGCAGUGGUUAUGGGGGUUGGAGGAGAAAGAUGAUUGUUGCCUUAUCUGCUAAAAAACAAAUUGGUU
rnacentral:lncRNA from 1 species